AGCGGUGCCCGGUCGGGCCGCGGGAGGGGACAGCCUGGGCCGGGACCGACGGGAGGCCGAGGGCUCUACUCUUAGGGUCCUUCCUUGACGGGAGGAAGCCGAGCCACUUCCGUCUCACCGAGUUUGAGCUCAACAACGGGGUGAAGAUUGUUUAACAGGUGCGCCCUGUGUGCCGGACCCCAGGGGUCGGGAUGGGGAGGGAUACAGAAGACCCAGGGGCGCCCCUGCCCCUGCGGUUUGUUUAGGUUAGUAAUUUAAUGCACUCGUCUGUGACUGUUUUUAAUGGUCAGAAACCUGGGAUCUGAGUUUUUAGGUACAGAGGGAGGGGCGUGGCUCAUUUUGGAGUGUGGGUAAUUAGAAGAAUGAACUGAUGGAGGGCCGUAGGGUUCCUGGUCUUUGCGGAUAGGAGGAAAGGGACAGUGUUCGGAUUAUCAGGACAUCCAGCUACCCACGUUCCUAGAAAAGUUUAUGCAGCACAGCUUAUUGGAUGCCUACAGUGUGCCAGGCUAGAAUCUAAGAAGAGCAAGAUGAAGACACAAUUAUGUCCGCUGGUAACUCACAAUACAGCGAUUUGCGUGCCAUCCCGCGCAGGCCACUUUUUGCUGUAUGAGGCAAAAUUAAGACAGGAUAGUCUGUGAUGUGACGUCAUUUAUCUGCACAGGUAUGCCAGAUACACAAAGGAUACCAUCAUUCGUCUGCAAGCGUACCAGACAUAUCUGUGUGAAUCAUUGAAACUCAGACCCAUUUAUUCCUUCAGACUUGUUGAGCACACACUGUGUGCUGGGCCCAUGUAAUUAGGAGGUGGGGUUACAGCAGUCCCCCUGCCCUUCUAAUGGAAGUUCAUUUAAAUUAAAAAAUGAACAAGGAAUAAUGACACAUAUGCAGAAUAUUGUGAAACAGAAGUGCAGGGAAACGCUGACGUGUGAAUCUUUGAAAGCUUCGUGGAUGAAGCGGGUCUAACCCAAAAUCUGAUAAGUGAGUAAACGUUAAUUCGGUGAAGGCUAAAGGUUGGGAGAAGUUGGGAGGGUGAGGAGUAACACUGAGUGUGAAAACUGGGGCAGGUGAAAACAAGGUCUUAAACAGAGUAGUGACAUGACCAGAUUCGUGUUAUUUGCAAGAUCCUUCUCACUGCAGUGUGGAGAACAGACUGAACAGGGUAGAAUAGUGGGUGUGGGAGGCACCAUUUCAAACAGGGCAAAUAGAAAUGGUGGGUAUCACAUCAGUUGACUGGGUGUAAUAAUAACUAACACUGAACACCACGUACCAGGAUCUGUAUCAAGUGCUUUGCUUAGAUUAUUAACUCGUGUAACCCUCACAACACCCUGUGAGAUCGGUACUGUUUUCAUCCCCACUUUACAGAUGGGAAACCUGACGCGCAAAAGAGAGGAAGUAACUUUUCUAUGAUCACACAGCUAGAAAGUGGCAGAGCUAGGAUUCACCUUAGGCAUUCUGACUCAGAAGUCUGUCUCCUCAUUAGCAUACUAUGUAGAAAAGAUCUUACGGGGGCUGGAUUUUUCUCCCCCAAGAGAUACAUUGAAGUCCUAACCCUUGGUACCUGUGAAGAUGACAUUAUUUGGAAAUAGGGUCUUUCAGGUGUAAUCGAGAAGGUCACACUGGAUGAGGAUGGUCAAUGAGGUGUCCAUAUAUGGAGAGAGAGAGACACACAGGGGGAAGAAGGCCAAGUGACAACAGAGGCAGAGAGUGCAGGGAUGCAGCUGGACACCGGAGAAUGCCAGGAAUUGCCGGUAACUACCAGAAGCUGCGAGAGGCAUAGAUGAGAACGUUCCUCAGAGGCCCCAAAAGGAACCAACUCUGCUGACGCCUUGAUUUUGGACUUCCGGUCCCCAGAACUGUGGCUGUAACUGUGGAUAAAAUCCAAAUUGGAAUGUGUUGAGAAGUGAGUGGAAGGUGAUAAAAUGGAGAUCACCAUAGCAAAUACGAUAAUAAUGAAAAAGACGGAGAUCUGCGAGAAUUACCAAAACGUGACACCUCUAGAGACACAAAGUGAGCUGUUGGAAAGAUGGCACCAUUAGACUUGCUUGACACAGCAUUGCCACAAACCUCUAAUUUGUA